UCCUACUUACGUGGCAGUCUCGCUAGAGUUCCCGGCAUUACCCGCUGGCAACUAACGAUAGGGGUUUCGCUCGUUAAAGGACUUAACCUGACAUCUCACGACACGAGCUGACGACAGCCAUGCAACACCUGCACAGAGCGGAUUAAACACUCCGACCUUUCGGCCAGAUUGGCUCUGAUGUCUAGUCCUGGUAAGGUUCUUCGCGUUGCUUCGAAUUAAACCACAUACUCCACCGCUUGUGUGAGCCCCCGUCAAUUCCUUUGAGUUUUACCCUUGCGAGCAUACUCCCCAGGCGGCGUACUUAACGUUUUCACUUGGGGAGUGACAGCUUGGGGCCGCCACUCCCUAGUACGCAUCGUUUACAGCUAGGACUAC
rnacentral:misc_RNA from 1 species